rnacentral:rRNA from 1 species
CCUACGGGGGGCUGUAGUGGGGAAUAUUGGACAAUGGGCGAAAGCCUGAUCCAGCCAUGCCGCGUGUGUGAAGAAGGCCUUCGGGUUGUAAAGCACUUUCAGUGGGGAAGAAAGCCUUGGGGCUAAUACCCUCGAGGAAGGACAUCACCCACAGAAGAAGCACCGGCUAACUCCGUGCCAGCAGCCGCGGUAAUACGGAGGGUGCGAGCGUUAAUCGGAAUUACUGGGCGUAAAGCGCGCGUAGGUGGUCUGAUAAGCCGGUUGUGAAAGCCCCGGGCUCAACCUGGGAACGGCAUCCGGAACUGUCAGGCUAGAGUGCAGGAGAGGAAGGUAGAAUUCCCGGUGUAGCGGUGAAAUGCGUAGAGAUCGGGAGGAAUACCAGUGGCGAAGGCGGCCUUCUGGACUGACACUGACGCUGAGGUGCGAAAGCGUGGGUAGCAAACAGGAUUAGAUACCCUUGUAGUC